rnacentral:lncRNA from 1 species
UGGGCCAACAUGCAAUAACCACAACUUUUUGGGCUAUAUUGCGAAAACACAAACUUUUGGGGUCACUUUGUAAAAACACAAAAGUCCACUACUUCAUGUAAUUACAACUAGAACCCAAAAUUUAAACAAUGCAAAAACUUCAUUAAAGGAACAAAACAAUUUGUCCUUUAGCGUUUUUGGACCUAAACGUAAAAACGUAAACUUUUGGGCCAAAGUGCAAAUACACAAAAGUAUCAAAACUUUAUGUAAUUGCAUAAAAGCCUCAAAAGUACCCUACAUGUAGGGUGGCCGGUUUUGGAGAGGGAAAGGAGUGAUGUGUGUGUUGAUUUGUGAGUUUUGACAUAAAGCAAGCAAGUGGUGCAAGUGGUGUGUGUGAAAGGCAAUUAAUCCUUUCACACCCACCAUUAAUUCUACCACCAUUUAAACAAAUAUCUAACACAUUAAAUCAUUUGAAAAACAUAAAACAUAAACUUUAUGAAAUAAAUCAAAACUUUGAAUCAAAACACAAAACCUUUUUGUUCUUGGCAAAAAUGUCAAGAACAAUGAAGAACAUUCAUGAAAAACCCAAAAAAAUUCCAUGAACAUUUUUACUCCAAAAACAUCUCAAAACCAUUCAAACUUUAGGGAAAUAACAUAUAACCAAACUAGGGUACAUAGGGGUUCCAAAAGUUACUUGAAAACACUUUUAACAAGUCAAACAAGAGCCCAAAAAUCCACCCUUUGGAUUUGGCCGAAAAUUCCCAAAAGCAUGGCACCAAAUUUUAGCUCCAAUAUUCAUGCUCAUAAGAACUACAUCAACAACAUUUGAGAUGGCAAAUUUUCUAACAAAAUUUACAUUCAAAGAAACAAGAAUAAAGCUUGUAACAUAUUACAACUUUUAAAUCACAAACUAUGAACCACAAAACCCAAAAGGAUUCACCAACUACUAGACCUAGGCUCUGAUACCACUUGAAGGAUUAUUUUGUGAAAACAUGUUCAUUUGAAUAACAUCUAUAGCAUGCAUUUAACAAUUAAAAGGCGGAAUCAUGCUUGCAUGCAUUAAAAAACAAAACAUUACCCAUGAAAUUCAAAGCCUAGUAGAUUGGUGAACCAAGA